rnacentral:tRNA from 1 species
AAAUAUUUAGGUUAAUUAAACCUUUGACCUUCAAAGUCAACAUUCUAUAUGAUAGAGUAUUUA